AACGCGAAGAACCUUACCUACCCUUGACAUCCAGAGAACUUUGUAGAGAUACGAAGGUGCCGAAAGGAACUCUGAGACAGGUGCUGCAUGGCUGUCGUCAGCUCGUGUUGUGAGAUGUUGGGUUAAGUCCCGUAACGAGCGCAACCCUUAUCCUUAGUUACCAUCAUUUAGUUGGGGACUCUAAGGAGACUGCUGGUGAUGAACCGGAGGAAGGCGGGGACGACGUCAAGUCAUCAUGGCCUUUAUGGGUAGGGCUACACACGUGCUACAAUGGUCGGUACAGAGGGCAGCCAACCCGCGAGGGGGAGCCAAUCCCACAAAGCCGAUCGUAGUCCGGAUCGGAGUCUGCAACUCGACUCCGUGAAGUCGGAAUCGCUAGUAAUCGCGAAUCAGAAUGUCGCGGUGAAUACGUUCCCGGGCCUUGUACACACCGACGCAC
rnacentral:rRNA from 1 species